UGGGGUUUCAAAGCGGCAUGUGCCACCUGCUAUGCAAUGCCCUUGGAAAUCCCAAA
rnacentral:precursor_RNA from 1 species